rnacentral:rRNA from 1 species
UGGGGAAUAUUGGACAAUGGGCGAAAGCCUGAUCCAGCAAUACCGCGUGUGUGAAGAAGGCCUUAGGGUUGUAAAGCACUUUCAAUUGGAAGGAAAACCUCGAUGUUAAUACCGUCGAGUUUGACAUUACCUUUAGAAGAAGCACCGGCUAACUCCGUGCCAGCAGCCGCGGUAAUACGGAGGGUGCAAGCGUUAAUCGGAAUUACUGGGCGUAAAGCGUGCGUAGGCGGCUUGUUAAGUCAGAUGUGAAAGCCCUGGGCUCAACCUGGGAACGGCAUUUGAAACUGGCAAGCUAGAGUUUAAGAGAGGUAAGUGGAAUUUCAGGUGUAGCGGUGAAAUGCGUAGAGAUCUGAAGGAACAUCAGUGGCGAAGGCGACUUACUGGCUUAAAACUGACGCUG